GCAGUGUUGACAAUAGAAAAUUAUAUUGGGAAGUUGUCAUUUCUACAGUAAAAACAGCUUUUUUUCAAGUAGUACGAAAUGUGACUUCGAUUUAUCUGUGGAACUAUUUGAACAGAAGGUAAAGCAGUAAUUUUGUUGUAUUUAGAAAGCAAACAGGGUCAUAUUUUUAAAAAUAUAGCGCACUGAAUAUAAAUUUGAGCAUCAUUAAAAUGUGUUCGCUAUGAUGCCAUUUUGUCUCCGGUAUAUACUGAGUUCUGCUUUUAUACUUGUGGAUAUUCGAAUUUAUUUGGCUCAAAAACACCAUUACUUCAAUAUCCCUUUUUUGUUUUUCCUUGGAUAGGUUUUAACAAGAUAGAACUCUAGAUCACUUGGGUCCAAAGACGCUAGAUUAUAAAAUCCUGAUGUGACUUGAUACUAUGAAUAGAAUAUGUCUUAUGAUUUAAUACUACAAAUAGAAUGUCUUUUAAGUACAAACUUCAAUGAAUUGAUAAAGUGUAAGGAUAGUGUUUAAAGUCGUUUCAUGUGUAGAAGCUGAAUUACUUUAGUUUAUACACUGUAAUGUCGAUAUCACAUGUUGAUAUGACUUUAAUACUAGCAACUUGCAAUAAGUGGUCUGUCCUGCUUGUUUAUAAUACUUUAGAGUUUGGACAUAGAACAUUGUAAUUGCCUGACAGAGACUGUUUAUAGGGCCUGUUUGUAUGGAAGCCGGGCUGGCCCGCUUAGCGAGACAGGUAGAUACGCAGGAUGAACAUAUGGUCACUUUUUAAUGAACCAAGGAAGAGUCACGCACAAAACAACAUUUAAGCAGUAUAAACAAAGAGAGAGAAGAGAAUAUUGAUUAUUGGAUGUUUAUUAAAAGUGCUAGAUUCUAUCUAAGGUAGAUACGCAGGAUGAUUUCUCUUGUGUUUAUUUGAGAAAAUUUCAUCCUGCUUACCGGGACAAUUUUGUUGUUUUGACAUUGUUUUGACAGUUGUUAAAAAUAGCUUGCGGCAGUAUCGUUGAACAUUCAUCCUGGCAACUGGGCUAUCCUGCUUGUGAUUGUUUAUAUGGAAAAAUUUCCAUCCUGGUCUCUGCAACAGGGCCUCCCGCUUGUACAUAGAAACAAUUUUAAUUAUAAUUUUUACUAUAAAAAUAAGUAGACAGCGAGAUCUCACUUACCGGGCUGUCUCACUUAGCGGGCCAGCCAGUUUCGAUAUAAACAGGCCCUUACACAACUGCUAAAAGCUGCAAGUUUCUUUAAAGCAAUAUCAUCUAUAUCACAGAAUACAGUUUCUGUAGUGACAUACUUCGUGUUUUUUCUGUCUUUAAAGUGUCUUAUGUUUGUAAUAUUUUUGUACAAUACCUUUUUGAAAUUGUUGAUACUGGUCUCAUUGUAACUCAGUUAUUCCUUUUCAAGAAAAAUAAAAAAAACAAAGCUGUGUGGGUGUGUUUUUGCUCUAGUUUUUACAUUUACA